GACAGAGGGUGCAAACGUUGUUCGGAAUUACUGGGCGUAAAGCGCGUGUAGGCUGCCCCGAAAGUCAGGUGUGAAAGCCCUGGGCUCAACCCAGGAAGUGCACUUGAAACUUCGGGGCUUGAGUUCUGGAGAGGAUGGCGGAAUUCUCGGUGUAGAGGUGAAAUUCGUAGAUAUCGAGAGGAACACCGGUGGCGAAGGCGGCUAGCUGGACAGUGACUGACGCUGAGACGCGAAAGCGUGGGGAGCAAACAGG
rnacentral:rRNA from 1 species